UUCUUCGGGGCAGGGUGAGAUUCCCUACCGGCGGUAAAGUCCGCGACCACCCGCAGGGUGAAUGAACCGGUGAGAUUCCGGUACCGACAGUAUAGUCUGGAUGAGAGAAGAA
rnacentral:ncRNA from 1 species